rnacentral:rRNA from 1 species
GGCCAACCCGUCUCUGUGGCAAAAGAGUGGGAAGAUCUCCGAGUAGAGGUGACAGACCUACCGAACUUAGUGAUAGCUGGUUGCCCGAGAAAUGGAUAGAAGUUCAGCCUUAUCCCCCUCCAGUCACCGAUGUGCCACUACCUACUAGACACCCAAGAGAGACCGAUAAGAGUUAUUCAGAAGGGGUACAGCUCUUCUGAACCAGGACACAACCUUACACAGGAGGUUAAGGACCAUAGUCAACA